GCUCUCCAUUAUCUUAUUUUUGUCAUUUCUGGAGAAAAGAAAAUGUCGCCAAAACAAAUGCAAUCAGCGUCCUGCGUUAAUUAUUCCGUUUCCUUCACUAGACAGCUAUGAGAACCGUGUGGCGUAUGUUGUUGCCUUUGGAACCACCCUCAAUACCACUGCGAUAGCAAUAUUUCAUAGUCAAGCUUUAGGAUUUCAAAUGCCAUUUAUUUUGAAAGCCAUUGAAGUAUUAUUUCAAGCCUUGUUGGUCUGUGUUCUCUGUUUUCCCUACUUCGCUUGUGUCAGCACGAGGUACAGGGCAGCUGGUGCUAUCAUCAACAUAAUGUAUUGCUUAACCUGGUAAAUACUUAGAAUAGUAUUAAAUAAGAAUAGUAGGCCUAUUAAAUACCGCCAAUCUGUGUAGCAGUGUUUAUAUUUUGUGUUUAUAGGCAACUGCUGGGAAGUUGAUAGAAAUGUGCAACUUGAAGGUCACAACUUAGUUUUCGUAGUCAUGUGACACACUGCACUCAUCCUUAAUAUUAGGAAUCGAAGAUAUUGCCAUCAUUAUUAUUAUUAUUAAUCUAUGGUGAAUAACUAUAAAAAGCUAGCUUUUUUGAGGGGAUGGGGGUUUAAACAAUAUAAGACCUAGUAAUAAUCCAUGUAUUUUAAGUUCAGAACUGAAACAUCAAAUUUCUAAUCUCUUUCACUUGUAACAAAAAGUUGUGUUUUUUUUUUUGUCUGAACAAUGACCUUU
rnacentral:sRNA from 1 species